rnacentral:rRNA from 1 species
ACCGAAUAGAUACCCAGGUAGUCCACGCCGUAAACGUUGGGCGCUAGGUGUGGGGGUCCUUCCACGACCUCCGUGCGCAGCUAAACGCAUUAAGCGCCCCGCCUGGGGAGUACGGCCGCAAGGCUAAACUCAAAGGAAUUGACGGGGGCCCGCACAAGCGGCGGAGCAUGCGGAUUAAUUCGAUGCAACGCGAAGAACCUUACCAAGGCUUGACAUGCACAGGAAAGUUCCAGAGAUGGUUCCCCCGCAAGGUCUGUGCACAGGUGGUGCAUGGUUGUCGUCAGCUCGUGUCGUGAGAUGUUGGGUUAAGUCCCGCAACGAGCGCAACCCUCGUCUUAUGUUGCCAGCAGUAAUGGUGGGAACUCAUAAGAGACUGCCGGGGUCAACUCGGAGGAAGGUGGGGAUGACGUCAAAUCAUCAUGCCCCUUAUGUCUUGGGCUUCACGCAUGCUACAAUGGCCGGUACAAAGGGCUGCAAUACCGCAAGGUGGAGCGAAUCCCAAAAAGCCGGUCUCAGUUCGGAUUGGGGUCUGCAAC